GGAGAGAAAGCUUGCUAAGCAUUAGUCUUUUAAACUAAAAAAGAUCUCUUUGGUCUCUUUCCC
rnacentral:tRNA from 1 species